rnacentral:rRNA from 1 species
GUCCAGACUCCUACGGGAGGCAGCAGUGAGGAAUAUUGGUCAAUGGCCGAGAGGCUGAACCAGCCAAGUCGCGUGAGGGAUGACGGCCCUACGGGUUGUAAACCUCUUUUGCCGGGGAGCAACGGGCGCCACGUGUGGCGCCACUGAGAGUACCCGGAGAAAAAGCAUCGGCUAACUCCGUGCCAGCAGCCGCGGUAAUACGGAGGAUCCGAGCGUUAUCCGGAUUUAUUGGGUUUAAAGGGAGCGUAGAUGGGUUGUUAAGUCAGUUGUGAAAGUUUGCGGCUCAACCGUAAAAUUGCAAUUGAUACUGGCAGUCUUGAGUACAGUUGAGGUAGGCGGAAUUCGUGGUGUAGCGGUGAAAUGCUUAGAUAUCACGAAGAACCCCGAUUGCGAAGGCAGCUUACUAAACUGUGACUGACAUUGAUGCUCGAAAGUGUGGGUAUCAAACAGGAUUAGAUACCCGAGUA